rnacentral:rRNA from 1 species
CAGCAGCCACGGUAAUACAGAGGGUGCGAGCGUUAAUCGGAUUUACUGGGCGUAAAGCGUGCGUAGGCGGCUUCUUAAGUCGGAUGUGAAAUCCCUGAGCUUAACUUAGGAAUUGCAUUAGAUACUGGGAAGCUAGAGUAUGGGAGAGGAUGGUAGAAUUCCAGGUGUAGCGGUGAAAUGCGUAGAGAUCUGGAGGAAUACCGAUGGCGAAGGCAGCCAUCUGGCCUAAUACUGACGCUGAGGUACGAAAGCAUGGGGAGCAAACAGGAUUAGAUACCCCUGUAGUCCCUGUCUCUUAUAC